rnacentral:rRNA from 1 species
AAUACGUUCCCGGGCCUUGUACACACCGCCCGUCAAGCCCAUGGAAGUCAGGGAGACCUGAAGCCGGUGACCGUCAAAGGAGCCGUCUAGGGUAAAACUGGUAACUGGGGCU